rnacentral:rRNA from 1 species
UAGGGAAUAUUGGACAAUGGGGGCAACCCUGAUCCAGCCAUGCCGCGUGAGUGAAGAAGGCCCUCGGGUUGUAAAGCUCUUUUGUCCGGAAAGAAAAGCAUUCGGUGAAUACCCGGAUGUUCUGACGGUACCGGAAGAAUAAGCACCGGCUAACUUCGUGCCAGCAGCCGCGGUAAUACGAAGGGUGCAAGCGUUACUCGGAAUUACUGGGCGUAAAGCGUGCGUAGGUGGUUGUUUAAGUCUGAUGUGAAAGCCCUGGGCUCAACCUUGGAAUGGCAUUGGAAACUGGGCAGCUAGAGUGCGGUAGAGGGUAGUGGAAUUCCCGGUGUAGCAGUGAAAUGCGUAGAGAUCGGGAGGAACAUCUGUGGCGAAGGCGACUGCCUGGACCAGCACUGACACUGAGGCACGAAAGCGUGGGGAGCAAACA